UUGUGAUCCUCUCCAGCACGGCAGCGGCAAGAAGCAAACAUGGAAGUUGGUGUAACCAUCUUGGAAAAUAUCCCUGUGGUUUUUUCUGUAUGUAGUUGGCUGAACCCACCAACUGUUUGGUCUGAGCAUAUUUUGGAAGAAUGCAGAACACACUUCUGUAAGACCUGAAGCAAACAUGGAAGUUGGUGUAACCAUCUUGGAAAAUAUCCCUGUGGUUUUUUCUGUAUGUAGUUGGCUGAACCCACCAACUGUUUGGUCUGAGCAUAUUUUGGAAGAAUGCAGAACACACUUCUGUAAGACCUGGAGUAACAUUUGAGUGACAUACAAAGAAGCUACUAUGGAAGAUCCACAAUGGUCUUCGAAAAGUUCUGCAUUGGAGCAUGGCAUCCAGGCAGAGUUCAGCUCAGUUGCACAUGCUGGCCUGAAAUGAACAGAAACGUAUUGCAUUGGACAGGGUGUACACACCAAGCAUGGAAAGGCGAGUUCUGCUCAGAGAAAUGCAGAGUUAUUGGAGGUGUAACUUACCUUGGAAACACUCCGUGGGUUGUGUUGAUAUAAUGAUUUUAUUAUAUAAACAUUCCAAGAGGUAUGUGGACCUUCAAAACUGGUUGAAUAUCUUCAUCAAGAAUGCAAAAGGCACUUCUAUAAUAUCAAAAGCAAACAUGGAAGUUGGUGUAACCAUCUUGGAAAAUAUCCGUGGUUUUUUCUGUAUGUAGUUGGCUGAACCCACCAAGAGGUGUGCAAACCUUAAAAACUGUUUUGUCUGAGCAUAUUUUGGAAGAAUGCAGAAGACACAUUCUGUAAGACCUGAAGCAAACAUGGAAGUUGGUGUAACCAUCUUGGAAAAUAUCCCUGUGGUUUUUUCUGUAUGUAGUUGGCUGAACCCACCAACUGUUUGGUCUGAGCAUAUUUUGGAAGAAUGCAGAACACACUUCUGUAAGACCUGGAGUAACAUUUGAGUGACAUACAAAGAAGCUACUAUGGAAGAUCCACAAUGGUCUUCGAAAAGUUGUCUGCAUUGGAGCAUGGCAUCCAGGCAGAGUUCAGCUCAGUUGCACAUGCUGGCCUGAAAUGAACAGAAACGUAUUGCAGUGGACAGGGUGUACACACCAAGCAUGGAAAGGCGAGUCCUCAGAGGUGUGUAAUCAGCUGUCUUGUUAGAGGUUAAGAACAACGCUGCCACAGAUUGAAGUCUCACUGCAGUGAAUGGUGUUUCCCUCAAGGUGAAGUGAACCAGGACUGUUACGAUUAAGGGUUGCUAUGCAGAACCCAAGAAACACGUCUAAGGAAGAUCCUUCUUCAAAUGUGGUGCAGUGCCUCUGAAAAGAUCUGCCUAGCCUCAUUGUUACCAGUAGGAAGAUGUCAUGGUAGUUUCCAGACAAGUGUUGAAAAGGCUUCAUUCUUGGCACCCCUGUAGCACAAAAAAAUAAAAAGUAGCAGGAUGUUUUUUUAAAACCAUAGAA